UCCGGGGGGGGCAAGCGUUGUUCGGAAUUACUGGGCGUAAAGGGCUCGUAGGCGGCCAACUAAGUCGGACGUGAAAUCCCUCGGCUUAACCGGGGAACUGCGUCUGAUACUGGAUGGCUUGAAUCCGGGAGAGGGAUGCGGAAUUCCAGGUGUAGCGGUGAAAUGCGUAGAUAUCUGGAGGAACACCGGUGGCGAAGGCGGCAUCCUGGACCGGCAUUGACGCUGAGGAGCGAAAGCUAGGGGAGCGAACAGG
rnacentral:rRNA from 1 species